rnacentral:SRP_RNA from 1 species
GCCAGGCACAGUGGCAUGUGCCUGUAGUCCCAGCUACUCGGGAGGCUGAGGUGGGAGGAUCACUUGACCCCAGGAGUUCUGGGCUGUAGUGCACUAUGCCGAUCAGGUGUCCGCACUAAGUUCCGCAUCAAUAUGGUGACCUCCUGGAAGCAGGGGACCACCAGGUUGCCUAAGGAGAGGUGAAUUGGCCCAGGUCAGAAAGAGAGCAGAUCAAAACUCCCAUGCUGAUCAGUAGUGGGAUCGUGCCUGUGAAUAGCCACUGCACUCCAGCCUGGGCAACAUAGUGAGACCCCAUCUUU